rnacentral:rRNA from 1 species
GAUGAACGCUGGCGGCGUGCCUAAUACAUGCAAGUCGAGCGAACGGACGAGAAGCUUUCUUCUCUGAUGUUAGCGGCGGACGGGUGAGUAACACGUGGAUAACCUACCUAUAAGACUGGGAUAACUUCGGGAAACCGGAUCUAAUACCGGAUGAUAUUUUGAACCGCAUGGUGCAAAAGUGAAAGACGGUCUUGCUGUCACUUAUAGCUGGAUCCGCGCUGCAUUAGCUAGUUGGUAAGGUAACGGCUUACCAAGGCAACGAUGCAUAGCCGACCUGAGAGGAUGAUCGGCCACACUGGAACUGAGACACGGUCCAGACUCCUACGGGAGGCAGCAGUAGGGAAUAUUCCGCAAUGGGCGAAAGCCUGACGGAGCAACGCCGCGUGAGUGAUGAAGGUCUUCGGAUCGUAAAACUCUGUUAUUAGGGAAGAACAUAUGUGUAAGUAACUGUGCACAUCUUGACGGUACCUAAUCAGAAAGCCACGGCUAACUACGUG